UCUCUCACUCUAUCUAUCUAUCUAUCUAUCUAUCUAUCUAUGGAGGAGUCAGGCAAGAGACCGAGCAAGACAGAGGAGAUGGAGUGUUGGAUAGCUUGCAGGAGUCGAGCAAGGAGAUUAGAUCGACAGGAGCUGGCCGGCUUGACAAUUUGUUGUUUCGGAUGGAAGAGGCGGAGAAGAAAGGAGUUUGCGGUAGUUGGAAUCGGCUGUGGAUUGGAGUCGAGAGUCUUGGGUCAGAACUAUGGUAGAGUGGAGAUAGGAGAAAUGGAAAGUAGCGACACGAGUUCGGUUGUGAGAGCGGAAGCAGCGAAGAAGGGCCUUCGUUCGCAUUUUAAAGGGCGAAGGCAGAGGCAGAAUCGAGGCUCUUCGAAGGAUUUUGAGGAUCCGUUAGAAGACAGACUUACCUCCUAUUACUAUCCAAAAUGGUUCUGACCGGUUUGGGAAGAAUAUUUCUACUUUGGAAGAUGGUGUCUUUUACUUGGAAGGUCAUAAGCCUUCUAUGGAGCUUUCAGGUAAUCUGAAUAAUGUUGAAUUACUCAUAUCAGAUCAUUAUCAUUGUGAUGCUUACACUGACAUUGAAGUGGAAAUAAUGGCUAAAUGAUAUGCUAGAGAAGAUCAAGAUUUGAGCUAAUCUAAGGGCCAUGGUAAGAAAGGUAGGAAACCUAUGAAUGUCAUUUUACAAUCUCCCAGAAAUACUCGCUCGCAUAUAACUCAUUAAUUAGUUUUUCUAUGUUUAAUGCUAUUAUUUGGAAUGUAAGGGGCAUUGGGUGACCUUUUUCGAAAUUUAGAGUUAAAAACCUGUGUCGCAUUCAUAACAUUUCAAUUCUUGUCUUGCUUGAACCUCCUAUUUCUAUGGAUAAAUUGUUUGUUACUGCUAAAUAUUUGGAUUUAAAAAAUGCUAUAGCAAAUGUUGCCAAUAAAAUCUAGGUUUUCUGGAAAGAUUUUGUUAGAAUUGAUAUUAUAGGUGAUUUCCCUCAAGUUUUACAUUGCAAUAUUAAAAGUUCAAAUUUUCAAUGUGGUGCUUCUUUUGUAUAUGUUGUUUCUUCUCGUUAUUCUAAAAGGACUUUGUGGGAUCAAGUUAUUAACUUUCAUAAUGUGUGUACCCUUCCUUGGUUGGUUGGUGGUGACUUCAAUACUAUUUCUAACCCAGCUGAGCGUUUAGGGGGUUCUCUCCCUAAUUAUCAGUCCAUUGAUGAUUUUAAUUAUAUGAUUAUGUCUUCCAAUCUUAUUAACAUUAAUUUUUCUGGUAAUAAAUUUACGUGGCAUCGUGGGAAUUUUUGGAAACGUUUGGAUAGAGUGUUGUUUAAUAAUGCUUGGAUUAGUUCUUUUAAUUUAACUAAGGUGGAGCACCUUAGCCGCACCCUCUCUGAUCAUUCCCCUCUCUUCAUUAAUGUUAAGAUUAAAACUAUGGGUGUUCCUGCUCAGUUUAGAUUUCAGAAUAUGUGGUUAACUCAUGAGUCUUUUCUUGAUGUUGUUCAAAAUAAUUGGCAUGCUCCUCUUUUCCCGGAUGAUUCUAUUUCUGGUAUGAAUAGGCUUUGGUUUAAGCUGAAAAGAUUAAAGCUGGUUUUAAAUUGGUGGAAUCAUCACAUUUUUAAGAAUAUUUUUUUCUAAUAUUUUGCUGGCUAAAGAUAGGGUUAACUCCUAUGAGGAGCUUUGUCAGUUAGACCCUUCGGUGUGUAACCUUGUGUUGUUACAAGACGCCAAAGGGGAUCUUGGUAAGCUUCAUGCUCAGGAAGAAAUUUUUUGGAAGCAAAAGGAUGCUUUCAAAUAUUUGGUGGAAGGUGAUAAUAACACUAAAUAUUUUCAUGCUUUGGUUAAUAAAAAAUGUGCUAUUAACGGUAUUCAUAAAAUUACUAGGGAAGAUGGCUCUGUUACUGAGGAUUCUGAGGAGAUUGAGAAUCUUGCUGUUAUUUUUUUUUCAAAAGCAUCUCAAUAAGUGUUUUACCCCUGUUUCUAUUGAUGAGCAUUCUUUUAUUCCUAACUUAGUUUCUCAAGAUGAUAAUAGGGGUUUAUCCGGUUGUCCUCUUAUUGAUGAGAUUAAGGAUACUUUGUCUAAUAUGAAUGUGGAUUCUGUGGCUGGUCCCGAUGGUUUUACUAUCAAGUUUUUUCAGCAUUCAUGGCAUAUUAUUGCAAAUGAUAUUUCUUCUACUGUGUUUGAUUUAUUUAAGGGCUCUCCGAUUCCUAAGUUUUUCUCUUCUACUUCGAUUGUUCUUAUUCCUAAGAAUAAUGAUGUUAUUCUUGGAAUGAUUAUAGACCCAUUAGUUUGUGUUCAAUUUUUUACAAAUUAGUUUCUAAAAUUUUGAUGAAUCGGCUUAUGUUACUUUUGCCUAAAAUCAUUUCUCCGUACCAAAUGGGUUUUGUUAAAGGUCGUGCGAUUACCGACAAUAUUUUGUUGGCUCAGGAGUAUUGCCAUGACCUAGAUGUGAAGGUUAGAGAGGGUAAUAUGAUUAUGAAGUUAGAUAUUGCUAAGGCUUAUGAUAAUAUUAACUGGAGUUUUAUUUAUAAAAUGUUGAAUUUCUUUGGUUUUGAUGAGAAGUUCAUUUCUCUUAUCAAAGUGUGUAUUAAAAAUCCUUCUUUCUCUAUUAUUGUGAAUGGUAAGAGUCAUGGUUUCUUUAAAGCUUCCCAUGGGCUUCGUCAAGGUGAUCCAAUCUCUCCUGCGCUCUUUAUUAUUAAUGCGGAUUUCUUGUCUAGGGGGCUUUUGGAUCUGUUUCUUAAAUGCCCUAGUCUCUAUUUUAAAACGUCUGGUGGCAUUAACAUCUCUCAUUUAUGCUUUUUCGAUUAUUUCAUUGUGUUCUCGAAUGCUUCGAGGAACAAGGUUAACAAAAUUAUGAGAUUCUUUAAACGGUUUGAAUCUGUUAUUGGUCUUAUUUUUAAUAAGAAUAAAAGUUGUUUUGUUAGUGCUAGAUAUGUUUCCUCUUAUAGGGUUUUGGAUAUUAAAAAUAUUACUGGUUUUUCUCAUGCUUUCUUACCUUUCAAAUAUUUGGGUAUUCCGCACUAUAAGGGUAGGAAGAAGGCUUUCUUGUUUGAUGGUUUAAUUCCUACUGUGCAGAAUAGGCUUUUUUCUUGGGAUUCAAAUUUUUUGAGCUUUGGUGGUCGUCUUGUGCUUAUUAAAAGUGUGCUCUCUUCCUUGCCAGUUUAUAGCUUUCAAACUCUUUUCCCUCCUAAGUAGGUGUGCACUAGACUUGACAAAAUUUUUAAUAAUUUUUUUUGGAAAGGGUCUGGUAACAACUCUAAAAUUCAUUGGACCUCUUGGGUGAAUUGUUGUGGGUCUCUUUAAGAAGGGGCUCUUUGUUGCAAGUCUAUGUUUGAUUUAGUUUCUAUGUUUUCCUUUAAAUUGUGGUAUAAUUUUAGGUAUAAUGUGAGUGUUUGGGCCAAGUUUAUGAGGGCUAAGUACUGUGGGGGGUUCCAUCCUUCCAACUGUUUUUAUUCUAAAGGUCAGUCUAUGAUUUGGCAUCGUCUUUGUAUGAUUAAGUGGAAUGUGUAACCCUCUUUAGUUUGGGGUCUUGGGGGGGUAAUAUUUUCUUUUAGGAAGAUCAUUGGGUUAAUGGUCAGUCUCUAGAUUCUUUACUUAGUACCAUUUCUAUUGACAUUGUGAAGGUUAACUUUUACUUUUCUGCUAAUGGUUGGGAUUUGGAGAAGCUUUCCAGAUUCUUCCUGAGUUUAUUAUUCAUCUUAUUCUUAAGAUUCCUCUUAACCUUAUUUCUAAGGAUGUUUUGCUUUGUUCUUUUACUAAAGAUGGUCUCUUUAGAACGAAGGAUGCUUGGCACUUUUUAUGUUGUCAUAAUGAGGUAAGCAAGCUUUUUAAAAUGUUAUGGCAUAAGAGCAUUCCCUCCUUGAUUUCUGUGUUUAUUUGGAGGAUUGUUCAUAAGUAUAUUCCUACGGAUGAGUUGUUAAGAAAGAGAGGUUUUAUUAUUACUUCAAGAUGUCAAUGCUGCAUUCACGUUGAGAAUUUGCAUCAUGUUUUUAUUUUUGGUCCUAUUGCUGUGAAGGUUUGGAGUUUUUUUAGGCUUUGUUUCAUUUCAAUUUUCUAUAGCCCUUGCAUCAAUGUCUUUAAUCUACUAGAUGGCUGGUUUGUGCACAAUAGGGGUCAUGUUCAGAAUGUGAUCCCUUUCCUGAUUUGUUGGUUCAUUUGGUUGGAAAGAAAUGGCUCUCGGUUCAAUGGGAUUGCUAUGGAUCAUUAAAGAAUCAUUCAGAAAAUUAUGGAUAAGGUUAAGGCUCUUUUUUUUGCUAAGUUACUUUUUUUAAAAAACUUUAAGAAUUUUAGUUUUACUAUGGAGGCUUUCGGUACUAAGAUGGAGGUGGCUAAUUCCCUUACGCAUACUAGUAGUAUUUGUUGGUGCAAACCUUCUAUUAAUUUUAUUAAGUUGAAUAUAGACUGUAUUCAUGUGGGGAAUAAAACUAGUGUUGGUGGUCUUAUUCGUGAUCAUAAUGGGGUUUUCUUAUUGGCUUUUGCUGGUAUGACCGGCGAAAGUGAAAGAAUGGGUGGCCUUCUUAUUGCUGUUCUUCAUGGGUUGAAUUUGUGUGCUAAUCUUGACCUUAAGAGUAUUGUUAUGGAGGUUAAUUCAUAUUUUAAUUUAAAUUUUCUGCUUAAUAUGGAUGAUGGUAACUGUUCUUACUCCUUAUUCUACAUUAGAAGGAGUAUUAGAGAUAUUUUGCCUUCCCUUAACUGUUCUUUUUCAACUAUUUUUGAGGAGGGCAACGCGCCUACUCGGGUGUUGGCUAAGCUGGGCUAUAGUUUUGCUAAUAUUGUUGAAUUCUCUCUUAAUAAGUUGCCUAUCCCGAUCAAAGGCAUGGUUAAUUUGGAUCGUAUGGAUUAAUUUAGAUCGUAUGGGUUUACCUUAUGUUAAAGGUUUAGUGUUUUUAGUGCUGGAGGUUGUUCUGCAUUUCUGGUAGCCUUAUGGGGGCUCUUUGUGGUUGUUUUUGGGUUUUCUGUCUCUGUUUUUUCUCUACUUUGUGGUGGUGCAGGUUGGAGGUUUCUUCUGUUUGUUCGGGUGUUGCUCUGUUGUUCUGGGUGUUUUGUUCUAGCUUUAUUUGGGUUUGUUUUUAUUGGGAGGGGGCUAGGUUACUUCUGAGGCCUAUUUGGCUGUGCUGGGUUCGGGUCUGCCUUCGGGUUAAUAGUUGUUGUUUGGUGAGUGUGGUGGGUUUACAGAUUUGUUGCAGUUUCUUUCUUACUGCUGUUUUUUGUCUGGAGCAAGGCUGGUUGCACCAUGCUCGGCUGUAUCCUUUUUAGAAGAUCUUUACUCUUUUGUUUAGUAUUGUUAAUUGCUUUAUUUUUCUAUUUGCAGUUUCAUGUUUAUUUUUUGGUUGUGCAGGAUCCCUUUUGAGCGUUUGAUUGCAAGGUUUAUGUGGAGACCUGCUACUGGGAGCAUUUUGUUUGUUUUUUGUUUACUCCUUUUUUUUUUUGGGUGAUUUCCCUUAAGCACCGUAGCAUGUUCGUAGGUUAACGCAUAGGCCCCUCUCGUGGGUUUUAACCAAAAAAAAAACUUGCAUUAAACUAUUUUCAAUGCAUACAUGGAGUUGUAACUAGCUUAAUUAAAAUUUGUUUAUUCUA